rnacentral:misc_RNA from 1 species
CGUGAGGUCGGAGUUCAGUCUUCCCAGGCCCACCACUUUCAUCGAGUGAGCAUUCGUCUUCUGGUUACGGGGCCAUAGCUCAGCUGGGAGAGCGCGUGCUUUGCAAGCAUGAGGUCGUCGGUUCGAUCCCGUCUGGCUCCACCAGAUGGUUUGAUCGCCGAGAUCUUGCACCGUCGUCCGCGAAACAUCACUUCGCAUCCUGCUAGUCUGGAUAGACAGCAAGAUGCGUGUUUUCUGACAUCGUAAAGAGGAGAUCGAUCCGAGUUGGGUCGUGCAGCAGAUUGUUGCGCGAAUCCUUCAUUAUCUCCGGAUCAUUUUCGGCGCUCGCUUUCAGCCGUGAGGUUGAAUGCGAGUUGUAAAAUGAUCCUUUUAGCGAAGCUUGACCGCCUCGCUAUCGGAACGAUCUUACGAAGCAAGCUGGUCUUUCUAGUCAAUGUCCGGCUGCAGAUAGCGUUCGUCGAGGGCGCGUGCCGCAAGGCAAUUCUGCAGACAACAUUCUGCCGAGUGUGUGGACAUUGAUAAUGAGAGCAAUCAAGUGCCUUAAGGGUGUUCGGUGGAUGCCUUGGCGCUGAGAGGCGAUGAAGGACGUGCUACGCUGCGAUAAGCCGUGGGGAGCUGCGAAGAAGCUUUGAUCCGCGGAUUUCCGA